rnacentral:tRNA from 1 species
GCCCCUGUAGCUCAGCGGACAGAGCACCGGCCUUCUAACCCGGUCGUCGCUGGUUCGAAUCCAGCCACGGGCACCA